AAUAAAGUGGCAUUAUCCGCGGAAACAAACCUGGGCGAGGAGCGAUAAAGCCGCCAGUCAUGGCGGCCGCAAGAUAAGCAGACGACCAGGAUGCGCGCGCACCUUGCAGGCUGCGGUACACCAGUGGCCAUGGUUAUUUGAUAUUCAGCGGUGAUGAAACCAAAAGCUGAAUAACACGAGCUGUUGCCAGGAACAGACAUGACAGUCUAGUGACAACUGAUUCGUGAUGUCCAAGUAGUGGUUGGGAUGCUGUGGGAUCAACAAACACGAGGAAGUGUCCGUGAGGUCAGGACACUGAUUUGUUUAUAGCUUGUGAAACAAGAUGCUUUUUGCAUGAGUUCCCCAUGUUCUCAGGGCGGUGCCCAUCUCUUCCCCCUCAUGGGCACAAUAACAACUGACAAAAAAAAAAAAAAAAAACCCAACUCACGGAUAAAAUUCAGUUGUGCUAACAAUGU